AGAUGUGAAGAUGCCACCCUGAACGUGCCCAAUCCCAUCUGAUCUUGGAAGCUAAGCAGAGUCGGGCCUGGUUAGUACUUGGAUGAAAAACCACAUAGGAAGACCAGGUGCUGUAGGCG
rnacentral:rRNA from 1 species